rnacentral:misc_RNA from 1 species
GAUGAAGAACGCAGCGAAAUGCGAUACGUAAUGUGAAUUGCAGAAUUCAGUGAAUCAUCAAAUCUUUGAACGCAUAUUGCGCUCUCUGGUAUUCCGGAGAGCAUGCUUGUUUGAGUAUCAGUAAACACCUCAACUUCCAUAUCUUUUUUGAAAUGGGAGUUGGACUUGAGUGAUCCCAACGCUUUUCCUCACCGAAAAGUGGCGGGUUACUUGAAAUGCAGGUGCAGCUGGACUUUUCUCUGAGCUAUAAGCAUAUCUAUUUAGUCUGCCUAAAAAACAGAUUAUUACCUUUGCUGCAGCUAACAUAAAGGAGAUUAGUUCUUGUGCUGACUGAUGCAGGAUUCACAAAGACGGCUUCGGCCGACUUUGUAAACUCGAUCUCAAAUCAAGUAAGACUACCCGCUGAACUUAAGCAUAUCAAUAAGCGGAGGA